GCCCGCCUAGCUCAACCUGGGAGAGCACCUGAUUUGUAAUCAGGAGGUUGCCGGUUCGAUCCCGGCGGCGGGCU
rfam:Solirubrobacterales bacterium 70-9 SCNpilot_bf_inoc_scaffold_2694, whole genome shotgun sequence.